AAAGCAAUUGCACAGAUCACAUUUUCACUCUGCACUGUUUUCUGUAGCUACGGGCCUACACCUUUUUAGGAGCACAAGUAUGAUCCACCACUCACCUGCUGUGGGUCUCCUUCCAAGUUCAUCCCCAUGUCCCCAUGCAUCAAAUCACCAGGUCAUAACUCCAUCGCAAUGUGCACCACUGGAUCUGAAGCAGCAGAAGUUGAGUGAAGGCAAGUGCCAAAGAGCAGGGUACAGCAGCCCAGCUACCAACCCAGGUCCCUAACAGCACAUCACCCCAGUGCUCUGCUCAGAACACUGGCUCCCCAAUUAAUCUCAAGACCGCUUCAAAGUUUGGACCCUAAUCUUCAAAGCUCUUCAUGGGAAUGGCUCAAGCUACCAAAGAGACCGCUCCGUCAUUUUGCCCGAUGAGAGGUAUCAGUUAUCACGGCCUCUGGGGCUUACACACAUGGAGUUGUCUUCCUGUCCUCUGCUCCUCAGAUUGUUGCCACAGGACCAAGUUUGCAUAGUGAAAGGAGGAGAGUAAAGCUCAGUGCUGGGCUACAUUCAGGCAGGCAGUCUUGGCCUGGGAACUCAGUGAGGAACAAGGAAGGAGAGGAUGCUGGAGUGGAAGUGAUUUGAAUUAGAACAAACUGGCUGCUGAAUAGAAGCUUUUAUUCCAGCCUGGAGAAGGCUUUGUUAGUCAAGCACAUGUGAUGCACAAAAGCCUCUCCUUGAAUUCAUUGAGUUUUAAUUGGUUCUCAGGUGGGGGAGGAGAUGGGUGUUAGG